GCUUUAUAAGCUUAGAAAUUCUAGAGUAUUUGGUGUAUAAGCUCAUUCUUCGAAAGCCUAUUCGGUUGGGGCGACAAAGGUAUAAUUUGAAAUAACUGCUAUUAACAUAUUAACAAUUAUUAUUGAGUUAAGUUCAUAGUUGAUCCCCUUUAGGGAUUAAAAGAUCAAGUU
rnacentral:rRNA from 1 species